rnacentral:sRNA from 1 species
GUUUCUCAGGGAACUCCCUGGGGUUGGCCGGUACCAUGGAGGAGGAUUGUCUUCAGCGUGCAGGGCCAGCGUCCUACGGCAGUUUCACUCUGAGCCUGUGUCUGGAUCACGGAGACGCGGGGUAGCGGUUCGGAGUGCGAAGCAGGGAUGUCCCCGAGCUGUGCAGCUGCAAGAACCCGAAAAAACAGGCGCCAUCUUCUCGGCGCGGUCCUACUCCGGACUGUAUUUCCCAGAGGCCCCCGCGAGUCCAGGGCAGCCCCUUCAUUUGCCUGCUGGACCCUCGGCCUCAAGGGUAGGGGAAGUGCGCGGUGAGCGGCCUGGGUCUUGCGGGCUCAGCUGGGGCCCGCAGAUAGUAGCUGUAGAUCCAAAAUGACCUCUGAUCCGCUUAGUCUGGGCCACAAGAAAGGCCUGGCAUCUCAUCAUUCCUUUCUUCUUCAGCUCUGCUCUCCUCAAGAGAGUUACCCAGAGGAAGAAUGGCUGUUGACCAAACCAAAUACAAGACAGAGUCUCACUCUGUUGCCCAAGCUGGAGUGCAGUGGCAUGAUCUCAGCUCACUGCAGCC